rnacentral:lncRNA from 1 species
GUACAUCCAAUAAAAUAUGAAUCCUAAUAGUCUAUUACUUUAUGAUGAUCAAACCGACUAUAUGUGAGCAUAUAAAUUUUUAUAUCCUACAUAUAAUACAUAACUUUCUUUGUAACUUUUUUACAUUCCAUUCUUAGAUCUUGUGGAUAAUGUCCAAGCAUCGAUGUAGCAUAAGGAAUAUCUUAACCCAUAUAAAUAUACACAUAGACUCCUAGCAUCAGAUGCAUAGGUUAUAAACCUUAUUUUCUCUCUCUUUAUCUUGAUUCUUAGAUAUUGAGCUUUAUUAAAUUUAUCACCCUUU